UACGUAGGGGGCGAGCGUUGUCCGGAUUUAUUGGGCGUAAAGAGCGUGUAGGCGGCCAGGUAGGUCUGCUGUGAAAACUCGAGGCUCAACCUCGAGAUGUCGGCGGAAACCAUCUGGCUAGAGUCCGGAAGAGGAAAGUGGAAUUCCUGGUGUAGCGGUGAAAUGCGCAGAUAUCAGGAAGAACACCCGUGGCGAAGGCGGCUUUCGGGGACGGUACUGACGCUGAGACGCGAAAGCGUGGGGAGCGAACAGG
rnacentral:rRNA from 1 species